CGCGUAGGCGGCUCGUUAAGUGUGAAGUGAAAUCCCCAGGGCUCAACCCGGGAACUGCUUUACAUACUGGCGGGCUUGAGGAUCGAAGAGGCUUGUGGAAUUCCUGGUGUAGCGGUGAAAUGCGUUGAUAUCAGGAGGAACACCCAUGGCGAAGGCAGCAAGCUGGUCGAUUCCUGACGCUGAGGCGCGAAAGCGUGGGUAGCAAACAGGAUUAGAUACCCUGGUAGUCCACGCCCUAAACGAUGGAUGCUAGGCGUGAGGGGUAUCGACCCCCCUCGUGCCGCAGCUAACGCACUAAGCAUCCCGCCUGGGGACUACGGCCGCAAGGUUGAA
rnacentral:rRNA from 1 species